UUGAGCACCUGGCCGGGCCACUCAGGUUUGAGUAGAGGGAGGCUGGACACCGCCUCUCGGUGGAGGAAUGUGACCAUCCCACGGCAGGGAGAGCAUCCGGGAAGGAGACGCGCUGAUGUGGCCAUCGUUGGGGAAUAGAACUUCUCACAAUUAAAUCUCAGUACGAACUGUGAAGAUGCUCAAUGAAGCUACAAUUAUUUCAGCUGGGAGUCCUUUAUUGUUGCACUAAAGUAAAAAAAAAAAAAAAAAAAAAAAAUCUUGGCUACAUGGUGCACAACCGUCUGACCCCGUAUAGCGCUUCUCGGGUUUCAAAAGCCACUUUGUUCCCCGCUCACAAUUUCCCGGUGGGGAUCAUCACCCCCGUUUUACAGCCAUGGAAACUGAAGUCUAGAAGGGAAUAAAGAAUUUCUGCAGUGUCAGCACCUCGUGGACUGGGGAACAGAUCUAAAUAUUCUGCUUCAAUCCCAGAGGGCUGUCUUCUCCUCCACGUCGCCACUUACUGUGAUUACAACCCCCCAGGGGUCACAUUCCACACCCAGAAAAUUGUAACACUGACCCAAAAGAUGAGGAAGCGAGGCCCGGACUUUGGAGAAGUCGAAGCUGAGCAGCCUGGGUCCUCCGGGCUGAGCAGUCUCCUCUCAAAACUGAUGAAAGCAGAACGGGUUUCAAUUUGCCACAUGCCUUUCAAUCUUCCAAGGAAGGAUGGAAUAAAGGAGGGACUGACCUAUCUUUGCAUCAUACGUACCAGCGAUGACGAUAUUCAAAAGAUACAGAAAGCGGUGGGAGAAGAGGAAAGAUGAGGAGUGGGGGAGUGUGGGGAGUGUUGGCACACAUGCACAAGCAUGUGCAUGCACGCCCAUGUCUGCACACGUGCGUGCACACACACACGCACACACGCUCCCGACCAUUACCCUGCCGUCACCUCAGGAGACCACGCUGCCAGGCGGGGGAAAACAGGGAAAAUGAAACCCUGCAAUGAAGCAGAAAGGCCAGGCUGGGCCCCUGGGCUUUGUGCACAGUGUGCUGCUCGGGGCGAAGACUUUAAGGGUGAGAUCGAGGCAAACCACUCACCGGACGCAGACCCCUUUCAGGAGCGGGGCUCUCUUCCCGGCCGGUGUCCGUGCCUCGGACCUGCAAGCUCAGCGCGCCUCUCUGUCGGUCAACCGGCUUCCGCCCGCUCCGAGCGGGCCGCAACGUCUCGCUGGUCUCCAGAACCCUGCGCUGGGCAGACCGUGUGCUGGCUCCAGAGGUCCCGGGGACACCUGAGAGGAGACUUCGGGCACCUGCAGGCGGGAACACGAAAGGCACACCCUCCAGAAAGGCAUUCUGUCCUGGUCGUGCCCACAGGUCUUGUCCGAGCCUCUGCUCAGAAAGGAGCGCAGGCAGGAUUGGUGGGUCCCGGGCCACUGGCCUCAGCGCGCUUGUGUCGGGGGGACCCUUCUCUCUCUGUCUUCACAGACCUACUUCGUUCAGGUCUCUGCCGAGCGUCGCCUCCUCAGGAGCCCUUCCUGACCCUCCGUCUCCAGGAUCUCCCCUCCCCUUACCUUAUGUAAAAAUGUUGAAGAACUAUCUCCAUAAUUGACAACGUCCUCAGCAUCAGAACAAAAGCGUCGCGAUGUCGCGGCUUCUGCUUGUUUUGCUCCUGGAUGGGUCCCCAGAACUCGCGGCGGCAAUGACAUUUGGUGCAUCCGGGAUGGCAGAUAAUUAUUCCGUGUUGUAACUUACACUUUCUGCAUCUAAUUCUCAAGACAAAGUAGGGUAUGGGGGGCACUAACGCCUUGUUAUAAAGGAGAGGAAUUGGAGGCUCAGUGCCAUUAAGUCACCUGCUCAAGUCACCUGCUUAAGUCAUCAUCAGUCACACAGCUGAUACUCAGGUGAGCGGAUAAAAGUGGUUGGAUUAAAUGCCCAAAUUCCCUAG